GAAGAAGAAGAAGAAGACCCUGAAGAAGAAGAAGAAGACCCUGAAGUGAAAACUUUGAGUUUGCAGGUGAAGGAGCAGCGGCCAAUGAUUCUGACAUUACUAACAUCAAUCUGAGAAGGGAAGAAAAUAGCAGCAAUUCUGAAACAAAAGAGAAGGCUAAAGAGGAGGAUUUUUGGUCCAUGUAUCCAAGGCUCAAUGAAUCUUUGAAGCUGGAGCAAUUUUCUGAGUAUACACUGCCGGAUUCUGGAAUUAAUUUUAUCGAGGAAAGAUUGAGCUCUAUUGGGAAUUUGAAGGCAAAGGAAUUAGAGGAGAAGUGGAAAAAAUUGCAGGUGGCUGAAACUGAGUUGAAACUCAUGAAACCAAAGUUGAUUCAGCAGCAGACAGAACUCAUAUUGAAUUUGAUCAGUUAGUUUUAUUUUAGUGAACCCUGAUAAUUAGUAAGGUUCUGUACAUACUCAAAAAGAAAAAUUUAAUCAGUAUUUAUCGUUCUAGAUGUAAAUGGAAUGGCUUUUCUUUCAUGUUUUCUUGCUGGUAUUUAGUUGAUUGUCUUACAAUCCAUUCAAGUUCAUGGUAAA
rnacentral:misc_RNA from 1 species